AGCAGCCGCGGUAAUUCCAGCUCCAAUAGCGUAUAUUAAAGUUGUUGCAGUUAAAAAGCUCGUAGUUGAAUUUCGGAACCGAUGGAUCGGUCACGCCAUUCGGUGUGUACUGGUUUAAUUGGUUCUCACCUUCUAAGGAACCGUGAUGUCAUUAAUUUGGUGUCGCGGGGAAUUAGGACUGUUACCUUGAAAAAAUUAGAGACGUUUAAAGCAAGCUCACGCUUGAAUACAUUAGCAUGGAAUAAUGAAAUAGGACAUUGUAUUCUAUUCUGUUGGUUUCUAGGAUCGAUGUAAUGAUUAAUAGGGAUAGGUUGGGGGCAUUAGUAUUCAAUUGUCAGAGGUAG
rnacentral:rRNA from 1 species